rnacentral:rRNA from 1 species
GACGAACGCUGGCGGCGUGCUUAACACAUGCAAGUCGAACGAUGAAGCCUUCGGGCGGAUUAGUGGCGAACGGGUGAGUAACACGUGGGCAAUCUGCCCUGUACUUUGGGAUAAGCCUUGGAAACGGGGUCUAAUGCCGGAUAUCACUUCUGACCGCAUGGUUGGUUGUUGAAAGUUCUGGCGGUACAGGAUGAGCCCGCGGCCUAUCAGCUUGUUGGUGGGGUAAUGGCCUACCAAGGCGACGACGGGUAGCCGGCCUGAGAGGGUGACCGGCCACACUGGGACUGAGGACACGGCCCAGACUCCUACGGGAGGCAGCAGUGGGGAAUAUUGCACAAUGGCGAAAGCCUGAUGCAGCGACGCCGCGUGAGGGAUGACGGCCUGG